rnacentral:tRNA from 1 species
AAGGGUAUAGCUCAGUGGUAGAGUGCACGCUUAGCAAGCAUGAGGUCUGGGUUCAAUCUCCAGUACCUCCA